UGGGGAAUCUUGGACAAUGGGGGCAACCCUGAUCCAGCCAUGCCGCGUGAUCGAUGAAGGCCUUAGGGUUGUAAAGAUCUUUCAGCUGGGAAGAUAAUGACGGUACCAGCAGAAGAAGCCCCGGCUAACUCCGUGCCAGCAGCCGCGGUAAUACGGAGGGGGCUAGCGUUGUUCGGAAUUACUGGGCGUAAAGCGCACGUAGGCGGAUCAGUAAGUUAGAGGUGAAAGCCCAGGGCUCAACCCUGGAACUGCCUUUGAUACUGCUGGUCUAGAGAUCGAGAGAGGUGAGUGGAAUUCCGAGUGUAGAGGUGAAAUUCGUAGAUAUUCGGAGGAACACCAGUGGCGAAGGCGGCUCACUGGCUCGAUACUGACGCUGAGGUGCGAAAGCGUGGGGAGCAAACA
rnacentral:rRNA from 1 species